AGAGUUUGAUCCUGGCUCAGAACGAACGCUGGCGGCAUGCCUAACACAUGCAAGUCGAACGAUCUUUCGGGAUAGUGGCGGACGGGUGAGUAACGCGUAGGUAUCUGCCCUGGAGUGGGGAACAACAGCUGGAAACGGCUGCUAAUACCGCAUACGCCCGGUAACGGGGAAAGCUUUAUGCGCUCUAGGAGGAACCUGCGUCCGAUUAGCUAGUUGGAGGGGUAACGGCCCACCAAGGCGACUAUCGGUAGCUGGUCUGGGAGGAUGAUCAGCCACACUGGGACUGAGACACGGCCCAGACUCCUACGGGAGGCAGCAGUGGGGAAUAUUGGACAAUGGGGGCAACCCUGGUCCAGCAAUGCCGCGUGCGUGAAGAAGGCCUUAGGGUUGUAAAGCGCUUUCGCCCGCGACGAUGAUGACGGUAGCGGGAGAAGAAGCCCCGGCUAACUCCGUGCCAGCAGCCGCGGUAAUACGGAGGGGGCGAGCGUUGUUCGGAAUUACUGGGCGUAAAGGGCGCGUAGGCGGCCUUGUCAGUCAGGCGUGAAAGCCCCGGGCUCAACCUGGGAUGUGCGCUUGAUACUGCAAGGCUUGAGACCGGAAGAGGAUGGCGGAAUACCCAGUGUAGAGGUGAAAUUCGUAGAUAUUGGGUGGAACACCAGUGGCGAAGGCGGCCAUCUGGUCCGGAUCUGACGCUGAGGCGCGAAAGCGUGGGGAGCAAAUAGGAUUAGAUACCCUGGUAGUCCACGCCGUAAACGAUGUGCGCUAGACGUCGGGAGUUAGGCUCUCGGUGUCGCAGCUAACGCAUUAAGCGCACCGCCUGGGGAGUACGGCCGCAAGGUUAAAACUCAAAGGAAUUGACGG
rnacentral:rRNA from 1 species